GACGAACGCUGGCGGCGUGCUUAACACAUGCCAGUCGAACGGAAAGGCCCUGCUUUUGUGGGGUGCUCGAGUGGCGAACGGGUGAGUAACACGUGAGUAACCUGCCCUUGACUUUGGGAUAACUUCAGGAAACUGGGGCUAAUACCGGAUAGGAGCUCCUGCUGCAUGGUGGGGGUUGGAAAGUUUCGGCGGUUGGGGAUGGACUCGCGGCUUAUCAGCUUGUUGGUGGGGUAGUGGCUUACCAAGGCUUUGACGGGUAGCCGGCCUGAGAGGGUGACCGGCCACAUUGGGACUGAGAUACGGCCCAGACUCCUACGGUGGGCAGCAGUGGGGAAUAUUGCACAAUGGGCGCAAGCCUGAUGCAGCAACGCCGCGUGCGGGAUGACGGCCUUCGGUUUGUAAACCGCUUUCGCCUGUGACGAAGCGUGAGUGACGGUAAUGGGUAAAGAAGCACCGGCUAACUACGUG
rnacentral:rRNA from 1 species